rnacentral:ncRNA from 1 species
AUAAUUUUGCCACCGGGCAGUGCCUUAUUUUUCAUUCCGUUAGGUCUUUGAAGGAGUGAAUAGAUAAGGCAUUUUAUUU